AAAAGUUUAGUGGUAUUAUAAAAAUAGUUUUGAUCAUGUAGACCUGAAAAGUUCUCAGAGACCCUGAAAGGUCCCUAGACCACACUCUGAGUCUAGUUGUUUUUCUUGGGUUCAGUCAGAUCUCUUGAGAAUUGUGUAUCUGGUUGCAUCAGUUCCAACAGUCGCUUGUAGUGAACUGUGUUCCGUCAUGUCCACAUUAAAGGAGAUGACCAGGGGAGGGAGAUCCUGACAGGAUUUUUUAUUGCUAUUACUAAAAUGAAGUUGUUGGAUCCUUCAUUUUCAAUGUCGAACAAUACGCUCUUUAGGAAGGCUCGGGCUGACAGGUUUUACUUCUCAGAACCAGAAAUGGCUUCACCGCCCAGCAGUGUUUAUCCUGUGAGUCUCAUGUGUGUAACUUGCUUCCCUCUUUGUACUGGCCAACAGGAAGCUCAGCCAUGUUUGUGGUCCAGCUUUUUACAAAGUACCUAAGCCCUUGUGGGGUUGAUUGGGGCCAUUGCAUUCACUUUAUCCUUUCUUCCCCCGGACUUUGUUUUCUUACUCCAGUUUUCUAUGUUGUGUCACAUGUUAGACCCCUCAUGUUACAAUGAGGCAGGGCACCAACAGUAUUUAUUCGGUUAAGAACCAGGUAUAAUCUAGUAAGGGAAAUGAAGUGAAUUCACAAAUAAGAUUGGAACAUGAAAAGUGCCUUUAAAGAUGUUCAGAGUGUCUUCCGACACUGGACAUACACAAACCCUGUGUCCCUGUAGUUCUCUUCCCGAUGCAGCAGAAAUGCUCUUGUAGAUUGACCAAUAGCCAUGUACCAGAAUGUUCACAGCAGCCAAAUGUCCGUCCACAGUACGAUGGAUAAAUAAGCUGUGAGAUAUUCACAUGAUGGGAUACGAUACAGCAAUUAGAAUGAACGCUACAAUGAAUCCCACAAAUAAUGCUGAAUAAACGAAGCCAGUUGCAAUAGUACUUUUAGAUUCCAUUUAGAUGAAUAAAAAUGGUAAAUUAAGCCAUUCAGUUAGAAGUCAGGACGGUGGCUGCUCUUGGGAAGGGGGAGGGUUAGUAACCAGGAAGUGGUACGGGCCGUCUUCACGGUGCUGAUAGGUUCGAUUUUUUUUAUCUGGGUGCAGGUUCCAUAGGUGUAUUGAGUUUUGGGCUACUUCCCUGAGCUGUAUAAAUUCACAUUCUUUUCUAAAUGUACGUCAUACUUAAGGUUUUUUUAAAAAAAGUUGCAGAGAUGGGCUCUAGAAGGAAAAGAAGUUGAAUUUGAUUUAGAAGAAUAAGAAGUGGAAUCAGGAAACUUGGCAGAGAACCCUGCUGUUCAGUAUAUAAAGUGUGUAUAAAGUGCCCAGCAAAUUCCUGGGCCAGCAGAGGCCAGAUUAAUGAGAGCUGUUAUCACUGGCUGGGCAGCUGACAUUCCAACAGAGCUAUGAAAAACGCCUGGGAUUCAGACACGCAGUGAGUGACAGAGGUGUGGACUCAGCAAAACUAAGCCCGUCUUUGAGAGCUGGCUGGGCCCGGGUGCAGGUGUGUGUGGGGAGACAACUGAACCGUGGGCUUUGCCUGCCCGGUGUGCCACCGGCCUGGGCUUGGCCCAGAGCAGGUGCUCAUUAGGGUUUGGAUGGACUGAGUGAUCAGUUGAAAGAAUGAGGGAGGACCAGAUGAAGGGAAUGGCAGAUUCGGACCAUGUGUGGGGACACCUGGAAUGUCAAGCUGGUCCGCGAUGGAUUGGUACUCAGAAACAGAAGCUGAGCUUCGCCCCGGCGAAUCCUAUGCCCACGGCUGCUGUGUGGGGCCUGGGCAGUGGGAGCUUCCCCGCCGGCCCCAGACCCUCCAGGGAAAUCACCAGUCAACUCUCUGCAACUUCCUCGUUCCCCACAUGCUCUCUGCAAAGCCAGCUCAGGACAUGGACAACUGUAGGGGGCAGGGACAUCACCAUCAUCAUCUCCCAGAGGAGAAUGCCAAGGCACUGAAAGGCCUCUGGAGAAAGAGAAGGAGAAGGAUACGCUUCCCCGGCAGAUGUACAGCAGGCUUCGGAGGUCUGGGAGAUGACAUCAGUUGGUGGUGUGUGUGUGUGCGUGCACACCCAUGUGCUUUGAGACUCCCUGAAUGAAGACACCAACAGAGGCGUCAUUCCCUGCCAGGACUGUGUCAGCCUCAGCUGCCAGGUGCCCUCUCCUGGUGUCUGGCUGCCUUGGGCCAAGCAUGUGACCUGGACAUUGGACUUGCCGCGCCCUCUGCCUGGAACUCUCCUCCCCUCUAGCAUUAGUUCCGUGUAAUCGGCUAAUUACAUUCCGCCGAGCUGUAGCAUGGAUCUCAAUAAACUCUUGUUAAAUGAAUGAA